GCCCGGAUAGCUCAGUCGGAAGAGCAUCAGACUUUUAAUCUGCGAGUCCCGGGUUCGUGUCCCAGUUGGGGUG
rnacentral:tRNA from 1 species